rnacentral:lncRNA from 1 species
AAAAAAAAAAAAAAAAAAAAAAAGAAGAAUGUGCAGUGAGCAAUCAUAUAUUCCCUUUAAAUAGUCUCAGUACUGUCAUUUUGAGUUUACCCUCUGUCUCCCCUAUUUUUUAUAUUUACAGUUUUUUAAUAUUAGGUUUUUACUAAAAUAAAAAUUUCACAUCGUGAUUUAUCAGAUGGAUCCUAUCCAUUUCUCAAUUUAAUAAAUAAUAUUUCUUAAAACUUUUCUUGUCUUACUAUAUUCUCAGCAUUUUGUAACACUAAAUAUUUAAAAUGCAAUAUUUAUAUCUUUUUGGACUUUACAUUGAUAUAUAUAAACUUUCGAAUAUUAUUAUGUUAGAUACACAAUUUCUAACCAGAGAGGAAUUUACAUAGUAAAUAAAAUGAUAUUUAUCAUAUUUUUGUAAUUCUAUUAGAAUUAUCUACAUUUUUAUAUGUGUAAAGCUCAUAUAAUUGGUUUUGCAUUCUUAAUGAAAGUUUGUUAAUAGAACUAAUAUAAUUAUAUCAUGGAAGAAAAACUAAUAGAAUUUAUUUUUAAAAAAUGAUAUCAAUCUAUCAAUUUUAUUGGGCACUAAAACAUUUAGGGUCCUGCCAUUGACCAAUACUGUCUACCUCCCAUAUAUCUACCAUUAAGCCAAUACAAUUAUUUAAACACUUUUGUAGAGAAUUUUUUUCUACAUUUGAUAUUUAUAGAAAGACCUAAAAAGAAAUAAAAUCUAUACUUUAUCAAUAAUAUAAUUCUGAAAGGUCGUUUUGAGAUAUAUGUGAUAUAAUAUUAUAAUAUUUAAUUUAUAUAUGAUAUCUAAACUUUACCAAAUACUAAAGUUUUAUAUUUUGAUUAGUCUACAUUGAGAUUACAUAUUGUUUCAUUAAAAUAUUUUAUUUUUAUUUUAUGCUAAAUUUAUAAUCAAUAUUAGAGCAUUUAUUACUUGGUCAUAGGUUUUACUAGAGUUGAAUUUCAUAAAAUAUUAAAUUUGGUCAAAUUAAAAACAUUUGACUCAUUUAGAAUAUGUAAAGAGUAGCGAGCCAAAAGAAGUUGAACUUCUCAAAUAUAAAUUAAAUUUUCAAGCGCAAAGCUCAUGGUACAAUCAAGAAUCUGAAUAACUUUUGAAUGGCCACAUUAUUGUAUAUGAAUUACAUACAUGUAUAUGUAUGAUAGAAUAUAUAUAUAUAUAUAUGUUUUCUUGGUAGUGAAUGAGAGGAGGAAAAAAAAUAAGAGGAGAAACAAUGAGAAAAAGAAAAGUUCAUAAAAACAAAAAUCACAAAAUCAUAAAGUUUUUUCAUUCUUAUUGUUCUGCUCUUAUAUUUUUUUCCUGUCUCUCAUUCACCACCAAAAAAACACAUAUAUAUAUAUAUAUAUUUAUGUAUUUUUGUGUAGCAUUUGACCAUGCCAAUCCGAAAUGCUAAACAAAAAUAUAAUUUAUUUUUCCAGAUUACAGGCCAAGAGAUAGUAUGGAGAUAUAUAGAAGGCGAUGGUAUGAGGGUUACAAAAAUAUUCAGACUAUUAACUCAGAUUAAAAAUUCUGUGAGAAGAAAAUUCAGAUAUGAUUCCAGAAUUAUUUGUUGAGAAUCAAUCCAAAGUUCCACAUCGGAAGUUUAGACUAAUAUGGUCUAAUAUAUAAGUAAUGUCCAACUCUAAUUAGUAUGAGGUCUUUUGGGAAGGAGCCCAAAAUCAAAUCCGUGUGGGCUUUGUCAGUUGGGCCCAAAGCAAACAAUAUCAUACUAAUUGAAAAAGUUGGACAUGCGUUUUUCAAGCCCAAUAUUAUUCAGGUGAAAAUUUUCAUCACUAUUUUCAGAAUGAUAGGCUAAAGUGUAAGAGACAUUUUAUUAUUAUUGUAUCUCAAAAAACGUGGAAAUGUUACAUAAGCCUUUAACAGUCUUUUUAAAAAAAAAGCUAUAUUCAAGAUAUUUAGUUUUUUUUUUAAAUAAUAUAUAUAUAUAUAUAUAUAUAUAUACACAUAUAUAUGAUAUUUAAACUCUAUAAAUAAGAGUUUGAUAUUUCUAGUCCAGAUAAAGUAACGUUAUAAUGCUGCCCAAAAAAUAAUACUACAAAUAAUUAUUUUCUAUUAAAUUUACAUUAUAGCAUUUUUUUUUAUAACAUCUAUUUUAUUAGAUAGUAAAAAAGUAAUACAUCAUGUUUACAAGCCAUUUUGGCAAAGAUUGAAAAACAUAAUACAUAGCAUGAAAACAACAAUACAUAAAAUUAAAAACACAAAGCACUAAAUCAAAGAAGAUGAGUUUAAACGAUUUUUUUCUUCGAAUUUUUCUCGCUGAAAAAGUGUCCACACCUUCUUUCCUCGUAAUCGCAUUUGAUCUAAAGCGAUUUUUUUUUUUGCUAUGAUCCAUCUUUUCUCCUGUUGUAUGUUAUUGACACAUUUCCAAGUAAGAACUAAAAAUAUUCUAUGAAUAAGAAUCCAAUCUUUUGAUUCUUUCCAUAGAAAAAAUACUUGAAAUUGCCAAUUUUCUACGACUGUACGUAUGUCGCCAUACCACAAGGAGUUUUCAUCUUCCGCUCCAAACCCUUGUCCCCUCCAUGGUGGUUUCCAUGUUUGUUGUUCCCAUAGUAAUGCCAUAUCCGGCUGAAUAGAAUCAUCGAAGAAGAUCAAACAUAAAACCCAAAUUCGCCAAUCAUCGUUUCCAUGACUCCUAACUUCUCCUAUUCCCGGAUCAAAAACCCAAAUUACAUCUCCAAACCAUACAGUGGAGGAUAAUAAAAACUGCUGUGAGUGUUGAUUUAAUCUUGGAUCAAUUUGAGUAAAUUGGUUCAAGAAAGAAUUAAAAUCCCAACCAAAGACUUGACGAAUUAUAGCAUUUAUUAUUUGGUCAUAGGUGUUACUAUAGAUGAAUUUAAUGGAAAUGUUAUUUUUGGUCAAAUCAAAAUUAUUUAAUAUUUAUAAUAUGUAAAAAUUUGAUCCAAAAGAAGUUAAAACAUAAAUAGAAUCUCAAACCACAUGAUACAAACAAGAAUCUGAAAAAAAGUUUGGAAUCUCCAAUAUGAUAUACAUUUGCAUUAUUAAAAAAAAAUGGCACUCAUUGUUCUUCUCUCAAUGCUUUUUUUUGUUUCCUUCUCUCAUUCACCACCACGAAAACACACACACAUAUAUAUAUAUAUAUAUAUAUAAAUAUAUAUAUAUGUCAUGCAUUAUCAUUUAUCAUCUCAUCGAUCUAACUCAUGCACUCAGGAUCAUCAUCAAAAUGAUCUUCUCCCUCCAUAGCCUCUCUUGGAUUUCCGGCUUCCAUAUUCUGUUUUCCGCAGGGCUCCAUCACAUUAUGUUUCUGACUUGUCGACACUAGAUUCAUAGAAAGUGAUUGAUCAUGGUUGGUGUCAGGGGUUGAGUCCAUCAGGGUAUUAAAGGCAGAGUCAUGUCCAAUACACCUCGUCGAAAAAAGAAUAUCUUCCUUAGAAGAGCCAAAAUUUCGAACCAACAGUCAAUAUCCAUCUCAUUGACGUCAAUGUCAAAAUAAAUCAGCUCUUCGAUCGGAACAUCAUUAUCUUCCACAUAAGGAACCAAAGCCAUAUCUUCCAUAUUAGUUUCAAGGGAUUGGGUUUUAUUGGUUUCAAAAGAAGCAUGUCUUCAAGAAGAAGAAAACUUUCUUCAGAAAACAACCAAUCUAUCUGGUCUGUAUUGGUUUCGAAAAUGGUGGUCGUAUUGGUUUGAGAAGAGGUUUCAUAACUUGUUUGACCAGAAGCAAAACCGACAUGGGAAAUGACAUUUUGAGAAAGAACAUGAUUUUCUCCAGAAGAAACCAUACCCAUCUGGUUACUGAUUUCAGAGGGAAUCAUAUUUUCAGAAGCAACAUAGCCUUCUACUGAAGAAAUAUUGGUUUCAGGAACAUUUAUGUUCAUAUCAGUUUGAGGAAGAACAUAAUUUUCUAGGGUAGGAAUCCAAUCCAUCUGGUUCAUAUUGGUUUCAGAUGACUAAUGUUUUCUGUUGAUGGAACACAACCUAUUUGGUUUAUAUUGGUUUCAUGAUCGCGAAUAUUAUCGGUUGAUGGACUCCAACUUAUCUGGUCCAUAUUGGUUUCUAAAGUGUUCAUGGUAAAGUCUAGAUCUGGAAGAAAAUAACUUUCUCCCAUAAUGCACAGAUCAGCUUGAGGAACAUAAGGCUCUGGUAUAUAAAUAAAGUCUAGAUCUAGUUGGUUCCAAUCGAUUUCAAGAACAGAUGAGCUAGGUUGAAAUGGGUUAGGUUCAGACUGAGGAAUACAAAUCCCGGAAGACUCCAUCUGGAAUGCAUCUGUGUUAGAUGCACCAACACUUGAUGACAAACCAUAAAGAACAGGAGGGUUAUCACUACUUAAGCCACUAUGGUUAGAUGCACCAACACUUGAUGACAAACCAGAAAGGACAGGAGGAUUAUCACUUAAGCCACUAUGGUUAGAUUCUCCAACACUUGAUAGCAAACCAGAAAGGACAGGAGGAUUAUCACUACUUAAGAUAAUAUGGUUAACAUCAUGGAUAGAAAAAAUAUGGGAAGGUGGGUUGUUACUUGUGGCUGAAGGAGCGUAAUUGACUUCCAUAGGUGACUUGUUUAAUAGGUUACCAAAAAGUGAGUGUUUACUCAGAUCCAAUUUUCCACCUAGAUGAAACUUGGGCACCAUCUUCGCUUUGCCCUUUUCAGCAGAUUUUUUGAAUGAAUCUGCAUACAAGAAAAACAAAAAACAUUAUUGACACAAAGAUGUUGAAUUGUGAAAAGUAUAUAUAUAGUAAAAGAACAUGACUUGCAUUGGUCGAUGGAUCAGGAGGAUGCUUCCUUCUUUUUCAGAGAAUACCACUUUGUGUUACUUUCAACGAUAUUCUUUGCUAAGUUGGAUGCAUUGAAAGGAUAUUCAUAGUCUGAAGGGUAGUUGAAUGUCUUAUCUGUUGACCUCCAUUCAUUCCUCGACAACGAAUGGUUCAUUAGCUUAACUUGUGCUUUGUAUUUCUGAAACAAUUAAUUAUAGAAUAAAACAGGUUAUCAUAAGGCUAGUAAAAUUAUAUAUUGAAAAAGAGUGUAUAUAAAUGUAUAUAUGAACCUGAAGGUGGCUACCGACUUGGCAAAGAUUCAAGUCUGAGUCAUUCAUAAUGCUCAAUAUGGAUUUAGGACAAGAAUCUGUAGGAUAAAGAACUGUAAUCAAUUGGUAGAAAGAAGAAUUGGUCAAAACAAAAAAAAUCUUACCUUUUGCACCCAAUAUGGAUAUAGCUGUUAAAAAUAUCAUUUGGCGCUCCUGGAGUCAAUACAUUGCAUCGUCUUCCAAUAUUACUCUCCAUAUUUAUUCCUUCCUCUCUCUUGUUCUCAGCCUCAGUGGGAUAAACCGGUUUAGUUUUUCCUUCAUCAAUUGCUUUGCCUUUUCUCUUUUGGUAUGUUUCAGGGGUUGUAAAUGUUUUGACGAAGGGUCGUCUUCCUAACAAAGAUGACUGACUUGUUCUCUGCCUCUUUAUGGUUUCUCUAAGAGAUUCAAUCUGAUUUAGUAUAUUUUUCUCCACAACUUUCUCUUGUUGUUCAGCGAUGUUGAUUUUCUUUAACUCUUGGCUCUUCUUAGGUACCACAUGCUGCCAUAGGUUUUCGAUGUCGUUUUCAGAAAUCGGCUUCGUUAGACAAAAACGUGCACUUUUUGUCAAAAGAUCUGAUGUUUCCUUGGUAUUUAUUUCUGGACUUAUCACUUUAACAUCAAAAAAAUAGAUAAAUUAAUCUGUGGAAGAAAGUAACAAACAGUGUAAAGAGUAAGCGCAAGAAGAAUGUGUAAAUGUUUGCUUACGUAUAAGAGGAAUUUUUUUGUGAAGCAAAGCAGUGAGAAAGGAAUGUGAAUCUAUAUGAGGCAUUUCAAUGUUGGCUAUCACAAGUCCAGUAUCCUUUUGCUUUUCGAUCAUCGAUAAAGCCUCACUUGCCUUGUUCAAGCUCAUCACUAGUACAUCAAUUUAUAUAUUAAAUAUUUACAAAAUCCAAAAAAAAACAUUGUUCAAAACAAUAAUCAAGUUUCUUCCAUUUUAGUUUUAGUUAUAUAAAAAAGUUGAAAAAACAAUAGAUUAACACGCACAUUUUCGAUUAUAUAUGAUGAUUAGCUAACCUAAUACAUAAUAUAUUAUUUAUAUACAUAUUAAUAUUUGAAAGAAAUUUUUUGGGCUAGAACCAGACAUCUAACAAUCUGAUUAUCCGAUUAAAAUAUAGAAUAUAUGUAUUAAAACUCAACAAUUAUACAUCUAGGGUAUUCAAUAAAAAAUUAAUAAAAAAUUAGAGUUCAAAUAUUUUAUUAAAUUCUUUCUUAUCGAUUUUUAUUUAUUUACAAAAAAAUAUUUUAAAAGAGAAAUUUAUAUGCGUAUUAUCAAUUAUAUUUGAUGAUCGACUAAUCUAAUACAUAAUACAUUAUAUAUAUAUAUAUAAAUAUUUGAAAACUUUUUCCAGCUAAUACCAAACAUUCGAAAUCAUGUUAAGAAAUCAUUUCUAAAUAACAUCAGUUAUCAAAAUCUCAUAUAUAUUCCACAAAAUAUAGAUUAUACUAAAAUUUAAUGGUUUUUACAAAAUAGUAUCCAAUAUCUAUGACAUAUUAUUAUCCAAACUAAUAAUCGUAGGUGAUUAGGAUUUUCAACAAAAGGGUUGUAAGAAAAUCAUCUUCAAAACUGAGAUCCAAGACCAAUCAGUAGCCUAUAGCUUUAAUAUUCUGUAAAUUAAAUUAUAAAUUAUAAUUUUCUAUGCGAAUUCACAUUUCUUCAAAUUUGUUCAGAGAUCCUGAUUUAUACAAUGUAGAAAUCUCAAGAUCUAGAGACGUUGAAUUAUAAUCAUCAGGAAAAUAUUCAGCAAAUGCUAAAAUUUACCAUACCAAAUGUAACAAAUUAGAAUAAUACCGUUGAUAUGUAAAUGGAAAAAUGAUCAACAUCAAUAUAAAUGGUAAACAAUUUUUUUUUACCUUUAUACGAAAAUUGCUUAAGCAUUGAAGUGAGAAAUUCAAUUGAUGUAGUGUCAUUAUCGAUUAGCAGAACUGAAAUAUCACCAAUGCGUUCAGGAACUAUGUUUCCAGCCAAAUUUACGGUCAACUUUUCAGUCAUAUUUUCAAAAAUAUAUGAUAUGAAGGUUUGAAAUAAUAACCGAGUUAAGGGGAAAUAAGCUAUUGCAUGGACGUAUAUAAAAGAAAGAAUAGAAAUUGUAGACCCAACAAGGUCAUAAAUUGCAAACAACACCAGAUGAAGAAAACUAUUUUAAUUUCUAUCAAAUAUAUUUCAUUUCAUCAUUGACCCUACCUAUAAUAUAUUUUUUUAACUCUAAAAAUAUACCCAGUCUAAAGUAUAAUCUAUUAGUUUAUAUAAUUCAAAAUCUUAUCAAACACAUGGUAAAUGAUAUUAUAGCAUUGGUAGUGAUAAAUAUAAUUAUUUUGGGAAUAUUAUAGUGUUUCUUGACCGAUAUAAUUUGAGAAUUUACACGAUAGUCAUCGACUUAAAAAUCCAUAUAUAGUUAGUUGUUAUUUCAUUUAUAAAUUUUGACUAGAAAUAUACAAUUAGUUCAUUUUUUAUACAAUGUUUUAGAAAAUGAUUAAUUAAUUAACAAAAAGUAAACAUAGAAAAUUUUUGUAUAUGCAUAAAAGAUUUUUCAUAGAAAAAUUUGGUGGAAUUAUGUUUUCUCUUUUUUCUUAUAAUUAGAUAAUAUUUUUAUUUCAGUCAGGAAAAAAUGUAGCUACAGAUGUGUUUUAGAUUUAUGGAAGCGUAAAAUAUUCUUAAUAUGUAAAGUAAUAUAAGUUCUCUAUAUAUUACACAAAAUAUAAUUCAAAUUUUGUUAAUAGUUUUGAUAUCAAAAGUUAUUCAUGCAUGCGUUUUACAAUUCGAUCCUUACCUUAUUUCGAGUACAAUAGGCAUGUGACUGGUCAAGUUUUUAAACUCUUAAGUAACUUCCAUAAUUACGUAGAAACUCAAAAAAAUUCAAGAAUAGAAUAAGGUUCAUCUUUUUAUAAAUGUUUAAUUUGAAACGUAUGCUAACACUUUAAAAUAAAGUAUUGAUAAUUAUAUGUUGUGAUGUUGUGUAAUGUAUAACUAAUGCUCGUUUAGUAGUGAACUCGUGAUCAAUGAUGGACUCCAGCUACAAGUUUGUUUUCCUUCCGAUCUGUUCACUACACUACAAGAAAGAAGACCUUUUAUAUUGGAAGAUAUCGACGUAAAAUCGACGUAAUGGGCCAUUUACGUCAAAUUAGUGACGAAUGAAAAAUUAUCGUAAAACAAUCAUCGUAAAAGAGAAAUCGUCGUAAAAUCUUCGUAAAUUACCAACACAAUAAAAUCGUCAGAAACAAUUCGUCGCAAAAACGACGUAAACGUUCCAACGAAAGUACGACGAAUUAAUUUUAACACAACAACGACGUAAAAUCGAUGUAAAAUUACAUCGGAUUUACAACAAUUUCGAGACGAUCUAUUUCGCAAAAGUCAAAUAAAUUUAUUAUAGAUCGACGUAAAAUCGUCGUAAUAUAUCGACGUAAAGUCGACAAAAAGUAUAUGGACGUUUUAAAAUAUUUGCCUUUAAUUAGACGUAAAUUUACGACGAGUUUACGUCGAAUUAGAAAAAUAAUUAUUAAAAUUGGAUUUUAAUUUAAUUAUUGAAUUUUUAAAAUAAUCAAAUAAAGGAAAAUUUAAAUUUAAAUUCGAAAAUAAUUCAUAAAUUAAAAUACAAAAUUAAAUACAAUUUAAAAAAAAUAAAAACUAAUCUACACAGUAAAUUCAUAAUCGUCGAGGUUGAGAUCGACGUCUCGAGGAGGCUCUCCGUCAUGUCCGUCCGUCGCUGUUGUACCAUCGUUUCCCGUCUGCACUACGGGAUCCGAAGUCUGACCCUGCGUCUGCUGGUCAGAAGGUCCACCCGCAAUAAUCCUGUGUGCUCGCCGUUGCCUCUCUCGAAAGUGGAUCGUGAAUAUUUCUAAUCCGUUUUUGAAGUCUUCAGUCAAUGACCCAUCAACAUUUUUGGGCGUAUACAUCCACUUUCGUAGAUCGUAUAUAGACAUUUAAAAACAAAUAAAUGACUUUUUGUUUUUGAAUUUUGAUAUAAAUUUCAACUACUAAAAAUUUUACUCAAACAUUCAAAGACUCAAAAAAUUGUGUCUUUAUAUGUUUUUUUGGUUGAUGGAAUAAUGAGAGAAGAAAUGGUAUAUAUAGAUUUUUUGUUUGGUUACCAACAUAUUGCCAUUGAAUAUUAACAUCAAAUUUACGUCGAAAUAAAAUUUACAUUAUAUUUACAUCGAUAUUACGUCAACUACAAGAUGGAGGCCAAUUCAUCGUAUUAUCGAUGUAAAAUUUACGACAAUGUUACGACGAAAUGUAAUUCGUUCUUUAUUCGUCAUAAUGUUGUCGUAAGUUUAUGACGAUUUUACGAGAAUACUAUUUUAUAUCGAAACGACGAAAUAUUUUGACGUCGUACGUAAUUUCGUCGUAAAUUUACUACGACCAUAAAUCGACGUAAAAAAUUCGUUGGAAAUGUCCCUCUUUCUUGUACUAUACAAGGAUUCAUAAAUAAUGAAGCUGUUUUGUUCGGUGAGUGCAUUAAUGUGAGUUAUACAAAAUUUACAUUGGUUACAAAAUUAGGAGACCAUCUCCAUCGGUUUGUUAGGUAAUUUAGAUAAUAAUAAAAAUUAAGAAAUGAUUAAAAAGUUAACAAUUCGGGUUGUUAGGUUGUUGUGGAAGAACCCAGGAAUAUAUAAAAACGUGGCACCAUGUCAUUGGUGGAAGAUUUUUUAUGUGUGUGGGCUAAAAAUCAGGAAUAAGCCCACAUAAAAAUUCUUAAUUUUUUUAAUUAAAAAUUCAUAAUUAAAAAAAUUUUAAGAAACCCAAUCCCAGGUUUAGGGAUGGAGAUGUUUUGCGUGAGUACAUUUUCUCUUUCUUAUAUAAAGUGGAUCCACCAUAACUCCUAAACUAAAUGAGACACACGAUGAGGCCGCAUACAGUGUGGAGAAGGUACACAAAUUCCGCAUUAUCGUUAUAAAAGCUAUGCGAAGUCUUUAAAAAUUAUCUACCGUUCUAAUAACUAACUAAAGUAAUCACGAGAAAUAGUAGUUGGAUAACAAGAUUUUUUUUGUCUUUCUGCUAAGGGCGAAAAAAGUAAUGUAACCUGAGCUCUUUUGCAUCUCUUCUCCGGCGAUGCCGACAGCGUCGGUCUCAUCCUCUUCUCCUCAUGGGGUAGAAAAAACAACCCAAAAAAUCUCCACCAUCCAAACCCUUGUGCCCUCCUCUGCCGCAGGUGAAAUAACCUUCACCAUCUUUGUUUUCACUCAAUGAAGCCGCAAAUCCCUUUGCUCACUCAGUGGCGGGGGAUCCUUCGUCUCUAGCACAGCAAAUCCUUACUGAUUCUGAUUCUCUAGCCUCGACUGACAGCAACUCUCGCUCAGAUCCAAUUGUGAUAGUUCCUGCAACAGUCCAAGCCCCCAAAUAUCAUUUAUGUAAAAGUUGUUGAGACAACAGAUCCAGAACUGAAGAACUCAUCAGUAGAGGCACCAAUUGUCCCGACAAUCCCUGCCUCUGAAUCUGUUUCCGUGAAAUAGUCUUUGGCUGCAGUUCCGGAAAUCCUAAAAAGUUCAAAACCCACUGUGAGUGAUUUGUGGUCAGGAUUAUUCAAAGGUGCUACGAAGCAACUGCAGAAGAAAGGCACAACUUUUACCUUCCCAUCCGAUGAAGCUUAUGUGAAGAUUCUCAAAUAUGUAAUCGAAAAGAACAAAAAAUCCUGGGAAAGUUUCAUCUGUGGGCAAUUAUACACAGAUACGCCCUCCCAGAAAACUGUUCAUAACAUCGUGAAUGGAAUUUGGAGUAAGCAUUUCUGUGAUAUUACAGUAUCAAAGAUAGAGGGCAAUACCUACCUUUUUCAGGAUACCAAAUCCUUCCACUCGACAAUGGGUUUUAACUCAGAGAUUAUGGCAGAUAGAAGGUAAAACGAUGUUUGUCACGAAUUAGGAGUCUGGCUUUGUUCCAUUGAAGCCCGAGCUCUCGUUGUCCCCUAUUUUGCUGAACUAAGAAAUGUUCCUCUACAGUUCUUCAAUGAAGACGGCUUUGAACACAUUGCGGGAUUUGUUGGAGAGCCAAAAUGUCUCCAGCCUAUAACUGCAAACAAGACAAAUCUGUAAGUAACGAAGGUAUUCACGAUAACUGAUCCUCGUAAACCUCUUUCAGAAGUUGUCAAUAUCCAAUUUGAUUCUGGAGAGAUCAAUAGAGUUUUAGUGUCCAGUCUGUGGAUGCCACCACUGUUUUAGUUCUGUAAGAGGUGAAUCAUCAUCUGAGGCAGUGCAAUGAAGCUCCAAUCUUUUGCAAGAAGUGCAACUCAAAAAUUCACGUGGAAGAGAAUUAUGCAAGAACCGUCCUACCUGAACAAAAUAAUCCAAACUCCCAUAGAAACAGAGCCAAGGGAUUAGCUGGAAAUACUUAGAAGUGGGUUAAAGUUGCUGAGAAAUCAUCUGCCAAAUCUGUCAAGUUUACUGAGUCUUCACUGGGGAAAGAAAACAAAUCUUCAAAGGGAGAGUUCAGUGGCGCUGUGGUCUGGUACAUCUUCAAGGGAAGAUCGACGAAAAUGUUAAAGGUCCUCCUAUCCCUGACACAAAAAAAUCAUCAGGAGUGGAAUCAGAUUCUUCGGACGUUGCUUUUGUGGACUUCAGCAAUGUUGUAAACCUGCAGGGUGAGCAGAGUGAGUUCGCAGAGGUAGUUUCAAAAAAGAAGAAGAAGGAUAAGAGGGACAAGAGCCCCAACAAAAGCAGCUUAAUAAAUGGUUGAAGAAAAACAAACCGUUUUAUGAGAGUAUUAUAGAAACCCAUGUGAAACAGCCUAAAUGUAGGAAUUUCAUUAAUAGAUCGCUUCCCGGCUGGUCUUUUGAACAGAAUUAUGAUUUCUCCAUUUAACAAGUGUAAAGGCUGUUGUGGUGGCUAAGUCUUUGCAGAUGAUCACCUACAAAGUUAUGUUUCCUGAUGUGCAGCAGUGGGUUAUUUUGUCAGUGAUGUAUGUUUCUACAGUUGAGACUCUGAAAAAGGAUCUUUGGGCAGAGCUGAUUGUUUUGUCUUCAAGCCAGACUGUUGAAGAAAAAGAAUGGAUGGUCAUUGAGGAAUUUAAUCAAGUUCUCCAUCUACAUGAGCAUUCAAGAGCUAUUACUCUUAAUGUGGAUAGGAGGACAAGAGAAUUCAGGCAGUGUUUGUUGUCGGCUGAGGUGUCAGAUUUGAACUACUGAGGAAACACAUUUACUUGGUGGAAUAAAUGUAGUGCCAGGCCAACUGUGAAGAAGUUGGACCACAUUCUUGUAAAUGAGGUUUGAUCUACUUUUUUCCCCUCUUCAUAUGCAAUAUGUGGAGAGCAUGGUUUUUCAGACUAUGCUUCUUGUGUUGUCGUCUUGGAGUUGGGUUCUCAAAGGCAGAGGAGACCUUUUAAAUUCUACAAAUUUUGCCUCCAGAACCAAGACUUUUACCCUCUGGUUUGUGAACAUUGGUUCUCAUGUAACAUGGUGGAAUCAGCAAUGUUAUGUCUCUCAAGGAAGCUUAAGCUUCUGAAAAAUGUCAUAUGUAGAUUCAGUAGAGAUAAUUUCUAGGAUUCAGAGAAAAGAGUUAUUGAAGCUCAUGAGAAGCUUUUGCUUUGCCAGUCUUAGACUCUAACUGAUCUGUCUCGAACAAAUGCAAAACUGGCGUUUGAAGCACAAAGAAAGUGGCAGAUCCUGGCAAGUGCUGAAGAGUCCCUUUUCUGCCAGAGAUCAAGUGUAACCUGACUUAAAGAAGGUGAUUGUAACACUUCUUAUUAUCACAGAAUGACUGCAUCUAGGAAAGCCAUAAAUCACAUUCACUUCCUUAUUGCACCAGAUGGAGAACAUUUUGAAUAUCAAACAGGAGUUUAAGAGCAUUGUGUUGAUUAUUUCUCACACUUUAUGGGUUGUGAGGUUGGUCCCCAGAUGCUGAUCUAGUCGGAUAUGGAGCUCCUCCUUCCAUUUUGAUGCUCUCAGGCCCAAAAAGAGAGUAUGAUAAAGAGCUUCUCGAAGGAGGAAAUCAAACACCUGCUUUUCUCAUUGCCAAAAAACAAAACCAGUGGACCUAAUGGGUAUUCCGCUGAGUUUUUCACCUGUUACUGGAGUAUUGUAGGGCUGAGGUAUGUGAGGCAGUUGAAGAAUUCUUCCGAUUUGGAAAGCUGCUUCAGCAAUGGAACACUACAACUUUGAUCCUCAUUCUCAAUAUCACAAACGCCUCUUCAACAUCUGAUUUCAGGCCAAUAUCCUGUCUCAACACUAUUUACAAAGUCAUAUUCAAGUUAUUGGCAACCAGAUUUCAGAAGAUCCUGUCUCAGGUAAUAUAUCCCUCUUAAUAGGUUUUCAUGCCAGGUAGGCUGCUUGCAGAAAACGUUCUACUGGCUACGAAAAUUAUGCAUGGCUAUAACUGGAGGAACAUCGAUUCCAGAGCAAUGCUUAAGGUGGAUCUUAGAAAGGCAUUUGAUUCAGUAAGAUGGGACUUUGUCCUCUUGACCUUAAAAGCGUUGGAGUUAUCAGAAAUAUUUGUUAAAUGUAUCAGUCAGUGCAUCACAACUCCCUCGUUUACAAUUUCAGUUAAUGAUAUCACCAGAUGCUACUUCAAAAGCGCAAAAGGAUUAAGGCAAAAAGACCCUCUCUCUCCUUACCAUUUUUCCUUGCAACGGAGGCCUUCUCAGGAUUUUCCACUCUAGAUUUGAGGCUGGGUAUAUCCAUUACCAUCCCAAGACGGCAGAACGGAACAUAUCUCACCUGAUAUUUGCAGAGGACGUGAUGAUUUUUUUUAUGGUGGGAGUUCAUCGUUACACAGCAUAACUGAAGGAUUAGAAAACUUUGCGUCUUGGUCAGGAUUGCACAUGAACAGAGACAAGACUCAACUAUUUCAGGCAUGAGUAAACCACAUUGAAUCCACUGCAAUGGCAAGCUAUGAAUUCACUGUAGGUUCACUAUCAAUCCAAUACUUGGGUCUUCCCCUUAUGCAUCGUAAACUGAGACUCUCUAAGUAUGACCUCCUUUUGGAGAAGCUUGCUAAUAUAUUCAGAUCUUGGGCUGUUACAACCCUCUCAUUCCCAGGGAGAGCUCAGCUGAUUGCUUCAGUGAUAUUAGGAACCGUCAACUUCUAGAUUUCCACGUUUAUGCUCCCCAAAGGUUGUAUUAAAAAUUGAAUCUCUGUGUGCUAGGUUAUUGUGGUCUGGUAGUAUUGUGACAAGAUGAGGAGUAAAAGUAGCAUGGUUUACUGUGUGUUUGCCUAACUCUGAAGGAGGUCUGGGCCUGAGAAAAUUUUCUGUGUGGAACAAGACGCUAUGUCUGCGGUUCAUUUGGUUACUAUGCUCUGAAAGUGGAUAUCUCUAGGCUGAAUGGCAUAUCAGAGCUUCUGGUUGGUGGAGGCAUAUUCAGCUGAUUCAUGGACGUGGAAAUCUCUAUUGGAUCUUAGACCAUUGGCUGAAAUGCUCUUAGGAAAUCUGUUGGAAAUGGACGAAAAACAAAUUUUUGGUUGGAUUUUUGGACACCUCUUGGUCCACUAAUUAAACUUCUGGGUAAUGAUGGCCCGAGAAAUAUCAGGCUCCGUCUUUCUGCUAUAGUCGCAGAUACAUGCACAAUGGAGACUUGGAGAAUCCCAUCGCCAAGAUCUGUAGCACAGCUGAGUCUCCAUAUGCACCUAACGACUAUCAACUUACCUUCUUCCUCUCAGAUCGAAGAUGACUGUUUUUGGUUGGAAAAUGGUGUUAAGUGCAGCCAGUAUUCCUCCUCUAAGACUUAGGAUGAUCUAAGGCCACAACAAGGUGAAACAGUGGUCUAAGCUUGUAUGCUUUAAAGAUUGUGUUUCGAGGCAGGCUUUCAAUAUAUGGAUUGCACACUUGAAUAGGCUCCCCACUAGAGCCAGAAUAGCUUUUAGAGGAACAAAUAUAUUCACAGAUUGUUGUCUUUGUUCCAGAGACGAGGAAACGAGAGAUCAUUUGUUGUUCAGUUGUGCUUAUAGCUCGGAAAUCGGAAAUCUGGAGGCUGAUACUUACAAGGUUAGACCAUACCCAGAGUCUGUUCAUCUUGUGGUCGGAGUUGUUAUCAUGGAUAAGUAUGCGUUCUGAUGCUGCCCCUUAUACCUGAAAGGUGGUGGCUCAGGCUAUGGUUUACCACAUUUGGAUGUCAAAGAAACAAUUUGCUGCACAACUAAUAAAGGAUUCCUGCAUCCAGCAUUUUCAAGUCCAUUGAUCGUGUGACUCGAAACACCAUUACUACGAGAAGACAAAGACGUUGCUUUAGCAACUUUAAUGUCUCUUUGGCUUCAAUGAAACAAUAUAAAAUCUAAUUUACUGUGUAUUGUUCUCCUUGUUUUUUAUUUCUUUUUUGCCAAGGAAGUUUUGUAACAGGUUAGCAUCUUUUAUAACCUUCUUUUCAUUUUAAUGAUAUUAACAUUCAUAGCAAAAAAAAAAAAAAAAGAAAUGGUACUUGCAAUGUUUUACACCAUGUUUGUGUUUUAAAAAUAUUUCACACUACAUAUUCAAAGUUAUAAUGCAGGAUACAAUUUGUUUCUAGUCGAAAAGGUCAAAAAUAUCCAAAUUUUUUAUGUGGUGUUUUCAAGAAUUAUGCUUUUAAGAGAAUUUAAGAAAAUCGGACUAUUCUAUCGAGAUACUAUAACUUAUUCAACAGAAUAUCUAAAGCAUUUGUUCUGAAAGCAAGAAUUCUAGAUGCUCUUCUCCCCAUUUGUUUUUGGUCGAAUGCCACAAAAGAUGUUGAGAAUUAGGCACAAGAACCGGGUUCAAUAAGUUGACAAAUACCAAACCGAGGACCGACGUGGAAUCGUGGAGAAAAAGUUACAUUACAAUAAAGAUAAAUAAAGAAAAGGGAAGAUGACGUAAAGCUCAGAUUUGGAGCCUAACGAACUCCACGUCACCGCCUAAGUUCAUCCAUUGAAAUUUGACGGCGUCUUCUACUCUUCUAUCAUAACCCUUCGUUCUUUCAUGUGAACCACGUCACCGCCAUUCUCUUUUUUUUUUCUUUCUUAAUACAUUUCUCAAUAUGCGUCCAAUAUCAUAAAUAUAAUAUAUAUAUAUAUAUACAAUUUAACCUAUUAAGGCAUUGCAACUUGUAGUGAACUUUCAAAGGAACUUGCAUCCACAAAUUUAAACAUUUUUGCAUGUUGUAGAAUUGAACACGAAUAAUAAAGUGUGUAUUGAUGAUACACUUGUGUUACUUAUUUGACAAUUUAUUUGGUUUUCUUAGAAAAACUGAAACUGGCUUAUACAGUAUGUUUGUACACAUUUUUUGUAUUCGAAGAAAUUGGGGCAUCAUACAGUGACAUUGCUAUUAAUGUUUCUUCUAUAUCAAACCAAGUGAUAACAAAAUAUAAAAAGUAAUAAUGUUGACUUGUAAAUAAAGUAAGAAAAUUAAAUUCUGUCAUUUCAGAAGAGGAAGUAUGUCACAUGUAUAAUAGAUCAUCGAUACUUUUCAUGAGAACUUCCACAAGAAAGCCAUUGACUUCUUAUACCUUUCUCAAUUUUCCAGCUUGACCCAUUUUUUUCUUUUGAAGUUAUGAGAACUUUAUGUAUAAAAACAUUUUAGACUAGACCUCAAGAAAAUUCAGAUAUUUUUAUAAUUUGUGAAAAAAAUGUUGAAAUAAAUUGAUUGGAUUAUUUCUAUUACUAACGUUAAUCCAGUAUUAUGGUGGUCUAUAUUAUUAUUAUAGCCACCUAUACGGAAUGUUGAUGUGCCAAACAAUGGAGACACACAUUGUGUACUUGGAUUAAUGAAUAAAAUGACAUGUAUCAGUCUAUGGGACACAUAGUAAACUAGAUUAUUUCAUACCUAAAAUGCUAUAAUAUUUGAUUGAUAAAUGAUAAGAACAAAGAAAAGUUCUUGCAAGUUUGAAAAAAAAAAAGAGAAUAUCUUGACUCGUGCGGAUCUCAAACUUUUCUUUUCUAUCCUCUUCUCAAAUUAUAUUCCAAGUAAAACACGCAAUUACCAUAAGAGUUAAACAAUAUAAAAAGAGUUCUCAACUAAAUCUUCCAAAAGAGGCUUUCUCUUAUGGUUCACAUGUAAGUAUAUACUUUAAUUUACAUAAAAUUUAAUUUAACGAAUCCUAAUGAGCCUAUUUUCUGAACACGUACAAAUCAAUUUAAUGCAUAUCUUCACAUUUACACAAGAAUAAAGAAACUACACAUAUUUUUACUCCAUUGCUUCUGAAUUUAUAUAAUUCUUUCCAUUUAAUAUGAUUGAGUUUUUAUCCCUCUAACAAGGAAAAAUAUUAUAUAUAGAUACAAGGAAAGCCCAUUUCAUUAUCUAUCUUCUCUUUGAUUCAGCGAGCGAAAUAAAAACAAAAGGCCAAAAAUGGGUGCAGACGCAAUCCAAACGAACGGUCACGAUCCCGCCAAGUUAACCGCCGCGAGAGGGAUCCAACGGUUGAGAUGCGCCGUGAAGAACUACGAGUGGGGCAAACUCGGACCGGACUCACUUGUUGCGAGGCUCCACGAGGCGAAUUCAGGGGACCGAGUCGACCCGGUGGUUCCUCACGCCGAGUUGUGGAUGGGUACUCACGAGUCGGCACCGAGUUACGUUGUGAAGGAAGAAGAAUUCGGGUCGGGUCGUAAUGGAUCCGAAUGCAUGGUUACAUUGAAAUCAUGGGUUUUGGAUUAUCCGAAUUUACUCGGGUCUAGAGUCGUGGACAAAUGGGGUUGUGAUCUUCCUUUCCUCUUCAAGGUAUUAUAUUUUAAAAGUUUCCAAUUAAAACAUGUAUAUUCAAAACCUUCUUUCAAAAAAAAAAAAAAACAUGUAUAUUCAGAUUCUGUUUAUGGUAAAUCUUUUUGUUUUUCCAGUUUUGUCUCAUACAUAAUUGUUCAGGAACAAAAGUAUUAUUUAUUUGAUCCUAAGAUUCUCAUUUUGAAUAUUUUUGCUCUGUUUUGAGGAUUUUACUUUUUGACUCUGUUUUCUUAUAAAAUUUCUAAUUAAAAGUCAAAACAUAUAUAUAUAUAUAUAUAUAUAUGUAUUUUUUUGUAAUUUCAGAUUCUGUGAAUUGUCAAUUUCUCCACUUUUUAUAUUUACAUAUAUUAUAUAUACAGCCAAUUUGUCUUGUUAGAUACAUAUAUAUUUUGGCUCUGUUUUGAGGAUGAUACAUUUUAACUCUGUUUUCUCAAUUUAUAAAAAUGCAUUUCUUUUUCUCUGUGUGUUUUAAAUUUAAAACAUAAAGGUUUGAUUCUAAUGAAUAAGAGUUUGAUGUUGAAAUGUGCAAAAAAUAAAAACAGGUUUUGUCAGUGACGAAAGCAUUGUCGAUUCAAGCACAUCCAAACAAAGCCUUAGCAGAGAAAUUGCAUAGAGAAGAUCCUCUUCUUUACAGAGAUGCUAACCAUAAGCCUGAGAUUGCUCUCGCCAUUACUCCUUUUCAAGCUCUUUGUGGUUUCGUAUCUCUUAAUGUACUAGAUUCUUCACUUCUCUGCAAACAUCUAAUUUAGUCGGUUUUUGAUUUAGAUAACUUCGGUUAUUUUGCCUAUCACAUAUGCUAAAUCCAAAAUUGAACCGGUUCUGUACCACUUUUGAUAUCAAAUUCAGGAGCUGAAGGAAGCCAUCGCCAAUGUACCAGAAAUCACAGAGCUUGUCGGAAGUAAAGCAGCAGAUCAAAUCUUCAAAGUCAACGAACACGAUGGAGACGAAACAAGUGUUAAAUCCGUUGUCCGUUUGAUUUUCACGCAAUUGAUGUCUGCAAACAUCAAUGAUACAAAGCAAGUCAUAUCACAGAUGAAGAUUCGUCUGAUCUCAGAAACAAACCACCGUGAGUUAUCGGAGAAGGAGAAGUUAGUAUUGGAACUAGAGAAACAGUAUCCAGGUGACGUGGGCGUGAUCUCAGCAUUCUUCUUUAACCACGUCAAGCUUAAUCCCGGAGAGGCUUUGUAUCUUGACGCCAACGAGCCACACGCUUACAUUUCCGGCGACUGUGUUGAGUGUAUGGCGGCUUCAGACAACGUUGUUAGAGCUGGUCUCACUCCGAAACACCGCGAUGUUCAAACUCUGUGUUCUAUGCUGACCUACAAAUUGGUAACUUUCUUUACACGUUAACGUUUUUUUUGGUUUAGUUGGCUAGCAAAAUUUGGAUUGUACCCUAACCCUAACCAAAACCGAAAAUUUAUUUUUCUUUGUUUGGUUAUUGAUUAAUUGUACCGGAUUUGUUUCAGGGCUACCCGGAGAUUUUGAAAGGAUUUCCUCUGACUCCAUACAUUACGAGAUACCUUCCACCAUUUGAUGAGUUUGAAGUGGACCAUUGUGAUCUUCCUAGAGAGAAAUCCACUGUUUUUCCGGCCAUACCAGGGCCAUCGGUUUAUCUGGUUAUUGAAGGAAAAGGGACAUUGAAAACCGGUUCAUCUCAAUUGUUGGUUAAACGAGGAGAUGUUUUGUUUGUUCCGGCACAUAACGAGAUUCACGUAACCGGAGAAAGUGAUGUGAUGAAGCUUUACAGAGCUGGAGUCAGCAGCAGAUUCUUUCAAACAAUGUAGACUAAGUAAAGAUACAUAUAUAUAUAUUUAAUUUGUUAUCUAAAUGUAACCAUAGGGAUCAAGGCAUUGACGUGAUCAUAGUCAAUAUUGGUCCAUGUUCUUUAAUCCUACAAAUGUCCCAUUACGAAUCAAGGGUUCAAGGGGUUGUUUUUCUAUUAACUUUUGUUGUUUCUUCUACACCUUUAAAAUUGAAUUAUAUAUGUAAAAUGAUUAUAAAACAAUGUUUUUUUUUUUACUUUUUGCUAUUGUAGUGUAGUAACUAGUAAUUAUUCUUCCUUUACCUGUUUAAACUUUAAUUUCUAGAACUACUCUGCAAAAGCACAUUUGUUCAGUUGUAAUAUGUAGAGAUCGAACCACAGAGACGAGAAAUUCGCUCAAUAAACCUAAUAGACUCUAAUUGCGCUAAGAAGAAAUAAUGAAAUUGAGAGCAGCAAUGCAAUAAAAAACGGUUUUAAAUUCGAUGGGAAAGAAUUAGGCUCAGGGUGUUUCACAGAAAAUCAGAGAAUGCAGACAAAUCGAUUAGUCAUGAUUCAGAUUUAAGCGCAAUUCUUGAACUCAAAUCACGAAAUUAUAAUUAACUAACUUUUGUUGCGAAAAUUAUUUAAAUCUAAAUCCCAGAAUCCCAAUUUUCUUUGCAAUCCUAAAGAUAUAAAUUAGCCUUAAGUGCAGGUUCGAUAUGUUCACAAAGUGUCUAAACCAAUUUUUUUUGUGGAUAGCUACUUUGCUCAUCCUAGGUUCUUUCGGAUUAUUCAAUUACAGUUUCGUGUCAAUCAAUUAACCUAAGAUCUAAGUUCUAGGUGAUCAGUCCAAAAUUAGCUUUAAGAAUAAUCUAUGGUGAAUUACUAAUCAGAUUAUGACCCCUAACUAAUUAAUUAUCUAAAAUUCAAAGGGAUCCCUUAUGAGAACCCUAAACCUAACAAACAAACUACUCAAAUAUGGAGAUUGAAUCAAUAAACAUGAAUGAAUAGAUUGCAGAAAGCAGUAAAAAGAUUAAUAAACAGAGGUUCAAAAUCUUCUCUCAAACAAACAGAGUCUCAGACUUGUCUCCCUAAAAGCUCUCUCAAGAUCAAUAGAAAUCAAAAGUCUCAAAGAAAAUCUAGAGUGUAGCCAAAACACGUGGCUGAAAACCCUAUCAAAAGCUAAAACACAUGUUGGACUUCCCUGUAAAUAUUGGAGACUUCUGGGCUCAAGAGAUUCUUUAAAACUUAGACAAAAUCACGUUUUUCCUUAUUCACGACAUUGGUGUCGAGCAACACCAAAACAUAUAAAUCAUCUUUCACGAAUUUGAUCCCUGCUUAGUUCCAAAAUGCUCUAAAAUCUCCAAUUAAACUCCAAAUACAUUUAAGACCUGAAAAGACUCCAAAAAAUUAAAAAAACACUAAAGAGACUCUAUAAAUAAAACCUAUCAUGAUCAAAAACCAUAAAAAAAAACCAUGAUAUAUCAUUCUCCAUGAUAAGCAUUUUUCGAAUGGUCUGAGUCGAACAAAACAAUGUUCUCUAAAGUAUAAGGCCAAUUCUUUUUGCCUCCCUCGUCACUUACCUUUUGUUUGUGGCUUCCAUGGCAUAGACUAGAGAGAUGACCCCGAGAAGACCUAAUCUAGCACGCAUUUGUUUGGAUGUUGCUAAUGUUCCGUUUUAAAGUACAUAUGCAAAGAUCGUGGAAAGUAAAACGAACUCAAUCUUAAGUCUUGAGACAAUGAUUUUUGCCAAUUUUCCGGUAAGCUUUCCCGGUGAAAUCUUUCACUGGAAUGACCUGAUUAUGGAUGCGCUGGAAACUUGAGUACUAUAACGUGAUAUACUUAUAUGUCAAAAUCGAAUUUAAACUGAAUGAGAAAUGAGGAUUCUUAGAGAGUAUAGCUUGAAAGCUUAAAAAUAACAUAAGUUACCAAAUGACAAGUGUGAUUUGUCCCACAUUAGCAAUUCAACGUUACAUUUUGAACGUAGUGUUACGUUCUCCCCUUGAUAAUACUCAAUAGAUCUGCUUCUAGCCUGUCCCAACAAUCUGAUUCGGAUUGAGAAUUGCGGUUUUUGCGAACGUUGUUAAAGAUUUCCAAAAAAAAAAAUAUUUCAUUACGGCUUUUCACAUCAAAUCGGAAAAACUCUGCUUAGUUUUAACUUUUUAGGGAAUUUGAUAAAUAUUUGACAAACUUUGUGAAAAUAACUUUUGGAGUAGCAAAAUUCCGCAAAAAAAAAAAAAAAACUCAGAGUAAACUUACUGACAAAAGAAAAAAGUUUCCUCAAGUUGGUUUAGUCGCAUUCCUUUUGUCAAGCACUUAAUCCACUACAAAGACGUUUUGUUGUAAUUUAACCGAACUGAACAAUCAUUCCAAAUCUUAAUAAGCAGCUAAAGAGAGACAUUGAGAGACCAAGAUAAACCGGUUUACUUGCACCUACUUGCUGUUUGUUAAAGCUUUGGUUACAAAAUGUGAAACGAUUCCAACCGGACAGAAGAGAAGGCACAAUGAAACCGAAUGCCUCGUCUCAAUCUUAUUCUCUAGCCCAUCAUUAAAAACUUGCCUGCAGAGAAACACUCAAAACAUGAGUUAUAAGAAACAUGCUAGGAUCAAUCAGAACCUGAAAAGUGCAAUAUAGUACCUUGCAGCGAAAAGAUCUAUAACAAGAAGAUGAAUCCAAGCAGAAGCAAGAGUCAUUUCACUUGAGAACAUUUUCGCUAUUCCAGACAACUGCAAAUGAAAAAAAAAAAAAGAAAUUUUAGAAACUGGAAUGUACACAUUUUCUUGUUUUCGAUAUUUCCUGAUAAUUGGAGGAAAAAGCUAAAACCUCUGGCAACAUGUAUUUACUGGAAAACAUGUAUUUGAGAGUAUCAGGCGUCCAAGAAAGGUAUAACAAAUACGCGUAUAAUACGCCUAAGACGAUAUACGGUAUGCUACUCUCCAUACACUUUUUGGUCUGCACAAGGAGAAAACAUACACUCAAUUCAAUAUGAACUUUUUUGAUUCUGCACAAGAAGUUGUAAAACUGCUAAACAAAAACUCACAAUUUCAGCUUUUGGAGCUACAACCAUUAGAGUGUAAAAGGGUAAAACAGCGGUUGUUCCAACCGCAAAUACACUGCUUGCAAUCUGAGAAGUAGCUAUCCCUGCACAAGAACAUGUUAUGUCUCUGUCCUACUUUCAAUUUAAACAUUGAAGAGCUAUAGAUUCUAGACAUAUAUCAAGCCUCUUUUUGGUUUAUAAUGUUUCAGUUAAGAGACAUUACAUGAAGCUCGUACACCAGAGGAUUUCUUUUGAACAAGAGAGGACGAGUUCGAUGAAACAUUAGGGAAAAGUGCGAUUUUUGAUCCUCCGAUAAAGCUCCAACGAUUCUGAAGUCGAAUACUUGACGAACCAACGCAUAGUUUAGACUUGACAUUGCUGAGAGAAAGACUUGUUAUCGAGCUCUUAGCUGAAAUGUUGCGAUUCAUCAUCUGAAUCACCAAACAAAAUGAAUCAAUCUGAUGAAAUAUAAAAAACUUCUUUAUUUCUUAAAAUUUAGGAAUCUGAGACCAAAAGCACUUUGAUCUGAACAACAACGAAUCAGGAACAGAGUUAGGUUCUGUAACAGGGACCCAUGAGGAGUAAAUUCAACUUCUUUAAUGUCUGCGUCAAUUCGAUCUGAUUCAAAGGAUAAAACUUUAAGGUUACCCAUAAGGAAUCUGAACUAUUCGAAAUUGUAGAAAGCUCGACAUAAGAAUCUAAUCCGACAAUCUCCAACAACUGUACAUACAUACAUACAUACAUACAUACAUGAUACAUACAUACAUACAUACACACACAUAGAUAUAGACAUAUAUCUGCGUAUACCGAAAAUUGGAGAAGAAUUGAAAAAGGAAGAGAAAAGGUAGAUACCGAGAGAGAUGAAGAAGACAAAGGCUGGGAAAUGCAAGAAGAUAAAGCCAUCUGCGAUUCAAAUCUUCAAUAGUCUUUGCCAGAAUUUGGCCAUUCAUUACCUUCUUCAACGAGCUCUCUCCAUAUAUAUAUGUAAAGUAUCAAUUUUUAGAGAGGAGAGUUGAGAGUUUUCCACUGGUUGAAAAGGGUAAGUGGAGAAGAAGCUAAGAGAAAAAGUGCUCACUCACUCUUUCUUCAUCAGUGUGGACAAUUAUAGUUGCUCAUCCACCCGAAUUUUUUAAAAAAGUUUUGGUCUUUUUUAGUUUUCCUCGUUUACUUCUGUUUCGCAUAAACAAAAAAAAAAGAAAAAACCAUUAUGAGUUUGAGUUAAUUUUAAAGAGAAAAUCAAAUUUAAAGAUUCUUUAUAUUGUAUGUUCAAAAUUGCAAUAUAUUAUGGAAAAAAAGAGAAGAUUUUUUCCUAAUUUUAGAUAAAAACCUUUAAUAAAAAUCAAAAAAUUAUUAAGAUAUUAAUUUAACCUUAUAUUUUAGAUAUUGUUCUUUUUCUGGUCAAUAUAAAAAAUUACAGUUUACCAUUCUUAUAUAAAAAAAAAUUAAUUAGACUCAAAUGGAAUGUUUUUAUUUUUUUAACAAGAAUAUAACUUUCAUAGAACCUAAUACCCAAAAAAAAAACAUUUGACCCGACUAAAUUAAAAUUCAAGGAAAGAUUGGAGCUUUGAUCCUUUACUCGAUAAAAAAAAGGUUCUUCAUUGUAUGAUCAAAUGACUUGUCGGAUUGUAUUUGUAGGUGGCUCAUCGUAGGAUUAAUAGCUUCUCGGAUUUUGUUAUCCUUGUCUUGUGUUUUGCUUUUUCCGUGAAGAUCAAAAUUUUCUUCUAUACAUUCCUGCUAUAUAUUCCAUCAUGUUCUACCGGUUACACUUAUAAGCCUAUAAGGAUAUCUAAUCUACUUUUUUAUUUGAUAAAAACCUAAUAUCUUUGUUAAUGGAUAUUUGUGCUUAAACUGAAUUUAGACACAACACAGGUCUAGUUCAGGACAGAACAAGACAAAAGUGACAGUGCUACUUCUACUCAGCAGUGGUUGUGACUUCCUCUAAAGACAAAAGUUGGUGUUUCCACCAUUAUUUCGGUUUUGCUUUUAUUAUAUAUUUUAUUUUAAUUUAUUUUUCGCUACAUGAGAAUUGCAUUAACGAAGGACAUUAUAUAUGAAAACAAAAAAAAACAAUAAAAAGAUAUACAUACAUGUGUCUGACACUCAUUGUUUGUGAAAUCAGUUGGGAGUAAGAUAGCGCUUGAGUGGGCUAUUUGGUAUGAUAGCUUCUCUCUAUUGAUGGGCCUUAUUGACCCACCCCACUUCAGUUUUGUUUAGUCAUUCACAACAAGAAAAACAUGAAAACAAAAGCAACACUUGUCUUUUCUAUCUCUCAAUCUGUAAGUGGUAUAUGCGCAUUUCGUUGAAUUCGAUUGAGACCAAAACUCUUUUAAAACAUAAUGUAUAGUUCUUAGGAUUAUAUGGGGAAAAUAUAUGAUGUCUCAAAGAUUUUUCAUAACAUAUUAUAUUCCUUAUAAUAAAAGGUCACCUGGGGUUUUUCUAUAAACCGGGGUUUUUUUAUAAACCGCCGGCUUUUCUAUAAACCGCCGGCUUUGUCUCUGGAGAUGUUGUAUCAUCUGCCGGCUUUGUGUAAUCCGUUGGCUUUGCUCUGUAACACUAUGGUGAUCAAUAUAAUAAUAUUCAAUGAAAAAAAAAAAAGGUCACCUAAAUAAUUAAAAAUUUGAAUUUUUACGACUCAUAUUUCUAUCCUAUUCCAAAGCUAGGAAAACAACAUAAAGAGUUACAAAUUCUUACUAUAUAGUACUUCCAACAAUAUCUUUAUGUAAAUUUGUGCCAAGUCAUUUUGAGUGGAAAAUGUAGAAUAUAUGAUCCACAAGAUCCUUGAAUAUACUUGGGUAUAUAGAAAUAAAAAUGAAUAUCCGAGACUCUUAUCUACAAGCCUAUCCUUAAGAAGGCACGUCCACGAAUGUUUCUAUCACAGAUUUUCAGUGGGCCAUCAUCUAUUACUUCAAGAUAUUGUUCUAAAAAUGCAUCUCAACCUCAAGCUUACUAAUCAUGUGACAAAAGUGAUAAUGUGAAUCUAGUUUUUCAAAUAAUUUCUUUAUUCAAUGACGACUAAUCAAAGAGUUGGUAUAUUUUUGUAUUCACAGUUCUUCAACUUUGUAUAUUUUCAUAUCUUGAGCCGCAUUGUAAUUUGUUUUUUCUUAUAUGCAAAAUUCAAAAUCAAAGAUUUAUAGAACAUUACAUAUUUAUUUCAUCAGACAUUUGAGAAUCCGAUAGAAAAUGUCUCGCAAACCGGAAAACAAACGUUAAAUCCGGAAAUUAAAACAAAACUAAGGAAACCAAAAAAAAAAAAGCAGAUGAUAAAAUCAAAGGUGAGGAGGGAGAUAAAGUUUUUUUUUUUUGAUGUUUACACAAAGCAAAGAAGCAGUGAAAUUAAGCAUCGGUGAAGCUUGCUGGCUUGUAGGCGAUGAAACUGAUGCACUGGACUUGACGGGUGUUGUCGAAUCCGAUGAUCCUAAUGAAGGCCUGGGGGUACUCCUUCUUGCACUCUUGCACUUCCUUCAACACUUGAGCUGAGUCAGUGCAUCCGAACAAAGGAAGCUUCCACAUUGUCCAGUACCGUCCAUCGUAGUAUCCGGGAGUGCUUCCGUGCUCACGGUGCACAAAUGCGUUCUACAAAAACACAUUACACAAAACCAUUCAAAAACAUAAAUCAAGAUUCUGCUUAGGACCUCUAAAUAGUUAUUAACUUGAUUGCAAGAUUCAUAUGGUCCAAGAGAUCAAGCUACUCUAUAAAUGAUUUUUAUUACCUCCAACUCGAAUUCAACACAGGGAAUCCACUUGUUGCGGAGAAGGUAGUCAACUUCCUUAGCCAAUUCAACUUCGGUUAGGUCAGGAAGGUAAGAGAGAGUCUCAAACUUCUUCUUACCAAUAGGAGGCCACACCUAUUUUUUGCCAUUUUUCCAAAAUCAACAAAAACAAUAUUAGUUUAUAUGAUUCGAUAAAUCAAAAACCCAUAAAUUUGUUUUUGGUAUAAGAGAUUUGACCUGCAUGCAGUUAACUCUUCCGCCGUUGCUUGCGAUGGAAGUAAUGUCGUUGUUGGCCUUACGGGUCACAGGGAAAGCAGCGGAGGACUUAAGUCCGGUGAAAGGUGCGACCAUUGUGGCCUGAGCCGGAGAAGCGACCAUUGUAGCGGAAGAGAGCAUAGAGGAAGCCAUAUUGCCUUUACUCUUUUUGUGUGUGACUUAGGUUUGGUCUAGUGCUUUGGUCAUCUAUAUAUAAUGGUAACAACAAUGAUAACAAGGUGAGGGAGUGAUCGGAGGGCUCA